AUUGAACGCUGGCGGCAGGCCUAACACAUGCAAGUCGAACGAGUGGCGGACGGGUGAGUAAUGUAUGGGAAACUGCCUGAUGGAGGGGGAUAACUUCUGGAAAGGGUAGCUAAUACCGCAUACCAUCGGAUGUGCCCAGCUGGGAUUAGCUUGUUGGCGGGGUAAAGGCUCACCUAGGCGACGAUCCAUAGCGGGUCUGAGAGGGUGACCCGCCACCCUGGGACUGAGACACGGUCCAGACUCCUACGGGAGGCAGCAGUGGGGAAUGUUGCACAAUGGGCGCAAGCCUGAUGCAGCCAUGCCGCGUGUAUGAAGAAGGCCUUCGGGUUGUAAAGUACUUUCAGCUGGGAGGCGUUACCCGCAGAAUAAGCACCGGCUAACUCCGUGCCAGCAGCCGCGGUAAUAC
rnacentral:rRNA from 1 species